UGGCGGACGGCUCAGUAACACGUAGUUAACCUGCCCUAAGGACGUGGAUAAUCACGGGAAACUGUGGAUAAACCGCGAUAGGCCAUCGCUGCUGGAAUGGGCAAUGACUUAAAUCUAUAUGGCCUUAGGAUGGAACUGCGACCGAUCAGGUUGUUGGUGAGGUAAUGGCCUACCAAGCCUGUAACCGGUACGGGCUCUGAGAGGAGUAGCCCGGAGAUGGGCACUGAGACAAGGGCCCAGGUCCUAUGGGACGCAGCAGGCGCGAAAACUUCGCAAUAGGCGAAAGCUUGACGAGGUUAGUCCGAGUGGUUUCUGCUAAAGGAAUCUUUUAUCAGCUCUAAAACGGCUAAUGAAUAAGGGGUGGGCAAGCCUGGUGUCAGCCGCCGCGGUAAUACCAGCACCCCGAGUGGUUGGGAUGAUUAUUGGGCCUA
rnacentral:rRNA from 1 species